rnacentral:ribozyme from 1 species
AACAAAAUGCAGGGAUGGACACGAGGAACGCAUUCAAAGAAGAGAGAGGGGUGUCGUAGUAAUUUGUUUUUGUGUAUCCUUUUGUUUUUUCCUUUUUUUUUUUUUUUUC